UACGGGGGGGAGCAAGCGUUUGUUCGGAUUUACUGGGCGUAAAGGGGCGCGUAGGCGGCGUGACAAGUCACUUGUGAAAUCUCCGGGCUUAACUCGGAACGGUCAAGUGAUACUGUCGUGCUAGAGUACAGAAGGGGCAACUGGAAUUCUCGGGUGUAGCGGUGAAAUGCGUAGAUAUCAGGAGGAACACCGUGGCGAAGCGGCUUCUGGACGGAACGACGCUGAGACGGCGAAAGCGUGGGGAGCAAACAGG
rnacentral:rRNA from 1 species